GCAAAGAUCUUGAGUUUUCGUUGAUGGGCAAAUUUUGAUGUUUUGCCAUGAAACAGGAAGCUGUUAUAACUCAGGCAUACAAUGUCCGAUCUACCCCAAACUUCACAUGUUUGAUAAGAGUCCUGUCC